UCUUAUGGAUGAGCAAAGAAAGUGAUAUCUUGAGAUAGGAUCUACUCCUGGUGAAGAUGCUGUGAA
rnacentral:pre_miRNA from 1 species